UUUCACAUACAUAUCGGUACUUAUGUCUGAGUAUAUGAACACUGCUUGCAGUAACAUUUAGUGUAUGGUUGUGAAAUUAGGCAAUUGUAAAUUAUUAGUUGCUUCUUGUAGUGUUCUUUUAACAUGAAUUAGUACUUGGGGCAUUUGUAUAUAUGAUCAUCUUUAAUGUAGUGACUUUCGAAGUGGCAUAAUACCUUAGUAUACAUAAUACACACUGCGUUGUCAGUUCAUUCAAUGGUACCAUUUGGGAGAGUGGUGGUAACUGUUAGCAUAGGACUA
rnacentral:lncRNA from 1 species